UGGCUCUCGCAUCGAUGAAGAACGCAGCGAAAUGCGAUAAGUAAUGUGAAUUGCAGAAUUCAGUGAAUCAUCGAAUCUUUGAACGCACAUUGCGCUCUUUGGUAUUCCGAAGAGCAUGCCUGUUUGAGUGUCAUAAUAAUCUCACCCUUUCCGGUUUUCCGGUUGUGGGUUGGUUGGACGCUGCCAGCUUCACGGUUGGCUCGUCUUAAAUGCAUUAGUGGAUGAUAGCGUGAUAAGUCUUCGCUUGAACACCCACUCUAAUAACAAACUUUUAAUCUGACCUCAAAUCAGGUAGGACUACCCGCUGA
rnacentral:misc_RNA from 1 species